AAAGGGCGCGUAGGCGGUUCAUUGGGUCAGAUGUGAAAUUCCUGGGCUUAACCUGGGGGCUGCAUUUGAAACUAAUGGGCUUGAGUUCGGAAGAGGGUCGUGGAAUUCCCAGUGUAGAGGUGAAAUUCGUAGAUAUUGGGAAGAACACCGGUGGCGAAGGCGGCGACCUGGUCCGAUACUGACGCUGAGGCGCGAAAGCGUGGGGAGCAAACAGGAUUAGAUACCCCGGU
rnacentral:rRNA from 1 species